UUUUUUUUUGGUCAGGGUCCCUUUUCGGGAUGGUACCUGGGCUGGUGCCUGGCUGGGCAGCAUGGCCAUUGUGUCCAUCAGAGGGCUGUCACGUCCAGGCCCUGUUCUGCUGGCAGGGGAGCUCAGUUUCUCUGCCUUGUUCUCACAGCUGAUGGUGCUAAAGCGCUGUGCAAGCAGCAGGCUGUGGGGAGGGACAUUGGCUGGGCAUCCGCAGGGAGCUCUGACCCUUCACACAGCUGUAGAGGAAUGCAGAGGGUAAAGAAAGCAUUUUCUCCUGUUUCAGGAAUUACCUGAAUUUGAUCCUGAAAUUUUCCUGCAGGAAAAAGAAAAUUUUCUGUUGGUGGCUAAGCUUGAGCUUGUUACGCUUGCAGCUGCUGUGGUGAUGUUUCAUGAGCUUUAUCCUGGCUGUGUGCAGGAAGGGAAACUGCAUUGGACUUAUGUGAGACCUCAUGGUAGGGGAAAAACCUGGGUGCAGUGAAGGGCUGCUGGGGCUUCACAUCUCGUGGCUUUGACCCCAGGAUUUUUCAGAGCAGUGAUGUGCCUCUCCUCCUGCCUUGCUUGGGCCAUUUAGCAAGCAGUUGCUCAGCACUGACUUUGUAAAACUUAAAACAUGUAUUUUAUUUUUAGCAUUCUAAUUCGUGUUUAGAGGCCUAGGAGAUGGAUGGUUUUAGGGCAGUAGAUACAUGCUGAGGACUAGCUGAGCAGCUCCCUGAUUCUUAGAGGGUUGGAGACAACUUGUGUGAAGAGCUGGUAGAACUGGACACAGAACUAAUUGUGCUUUGGAAGCACACUUUUUUUCCCUGUCUCUGGACUGAGGACAUUGCUAUUUCCCAUGUCUGCUGGGUCAGUCUGCGUGUCUUAUGUGAGCUGCGGUCUGCUGGUGGAAAGUCAAGGGGAAAGCUGUCCUCAUCAGUCUUAAGCCCUGCUAAAUCUGGACAGAAAUCCUUUUCUGCCCCUGAGAACAGUGCACCCCUCAGGCACCAGCAGGCCUGGCGUGGUGUGGGCCAUCCCCGGGCAGACCUCAGGUACCCAAAUGGAGAGGCAUGGAUUGGUUUUGCUUUUUUUUUUUUUAAAUUUGCUUUUAAAUUGGUUAUGGUCCAGUGUUGAUAGAGUAACUGCAAUGGACCUUCAUGCUGCAUUUCAGCCCUUCUUCCCUUCCAAACCAAAGUCAUCUGCUUCUCCUAAAGAACAGCCGCCUCUGUAUCUUCUCUGACACUUCUGCAGGUAGGGAAAAGUAAUAAUUUUAGAUCUAGUUCUGCUGAUGUGUUUGUCUGUUCUCAGCACUAGUGUAAAUCUGGGUUUGAAUUAAGCCCAAAACCUAAUGUCUGAAAGUGCUAUUUCUCAGGACAUGUAGAAGCAGGAAUGCACAAAAUCAGUGUUUUCUCUAACUGCUGCUAAGUUUUCUUUACUGGUUAAUUUCAGCCCAGUGAUCUCCACAACCUGCAGAGCCCUCCUGCCUCAGGAUCCUGCCCUGCAGCUCCUGGCUGCUGGGCACCAGCACCUGAUGGGUGCUGGGUGUGCACCACCAUCCCCUUCUCCUCCCCUCCCUGCCUUGUGCUCCUGAGUCUGCUCAACCUCUUCAUUUGUCUUUCUCUGAUCUAAGGUGAUUUUCUGACUCUUUCAUUGUCCCCUGACAGCCAACUGCACAUCUCAGUGACAUCUCUGCUGGUUGUGUCUUGCCUGUGUGACAGGUCUGAAGCAGAUGUGAAAGACCAAACACACUGUCCCAAAGGAGAGGGCGAAUAUCCUGUCCCAUCGAAAGGGAGAGUGACCUGAUCUCAGGCUUGUUUUGGGCAAUGAGGGGCCACCCAGGGAUUUUGUUCACAGAACGGAAUGAGCUGCAAAAGGGAUAAAGAUCAUUCACAGGAACCUUGAAAGAACUGCUUGAGCUCCAUGAAAUGAAGAUUAAAAAUAAAACAGGGAGGGACAAUAAGUCAGUUGAUAACUGCGCUGUCAGCUGGUGUCACCACGAGGAUGUGAUGGGAGAAGGGUUGGAUCUGCAGGACCCUGUGCUGCAUGCGCAACCAUGGAGGAUGUCCUCACCACUGGUCAGUGCAAAAUUCACUGCAAGAUUAUUUAACUGGGUAUCAUCUUGUCCUUGUGCUGCUGCAAAAAAAACACUUGCAACAGAGUCUGCUUUUCAUUUGCUUAGUGCUGAUUUCUUUUUUUUUUUUUUU